GUCCCAGCAGCCGCGGUAAUACGGAGGAUGCGAGCGUUAUCCGGAUUUAUUGGGUUUAAAGGGUGCGUAGGCGGUUGUAUAAGUCAGCGGUGAAAUUUUCCGGCUUAACCGGGAGACUGCCGUUGAUACUGUAUAGCUUGAAUACGGUUGCCGUGAGUGGAAUGUGUGGUGUAGCGGUGAAAUGCAUAGAUAUCACACAGAAUAUCGAUUGCGAAGGCAGCUCACAAAGCCGUUAUUGACGCUGAUGCACGAAAGUGUGGGGAUCAAACAGGAUUAGAUACCCUGGUAGUCCACACUGUAAACGAUGAUAACUAGCUGUCGGCGAUACAUAGUCGGUGGCCAAGCGAAAGCGAUAAGUUAUCCACCUGGGGAGUACGACCGCAAGGUUGAAACUCAAAGGAAUUGACGGGGGCCCGCACAAGCGGAGGAACAUGUGGUUUAAUUCGAUGAUACGCGAGGAACCUUACCCGGGCUCGAACGGUGCAGUAAUAUGGUAGAGAUAUCAUAGCUAGCAAUAGACUGUAUCGAGGUGCUGCAUGGUUGUCGUCAGCUCGUGCCGUGAGGUGUCGGCUUAAGUGCCAUAACGAGCGCAACCCUUGUCGUUAGUUACCAUCAAGUAAAGUUGGGGACUCUAGCGAGACUGCCACCGUAAGGUGUGAGGAAGGGGGGGAUGACGUCAAAUCAGCACGGCCCUUACGUCCGGGGCGACACACGUGUUACAAUGGUAGGUACAGAGGGCCGCUAUCCAGUGAUGGAGUGCCAAUCUCAAAAACCUAUCUCAGUUCGGAUCGGAGUCUGCAACUCGACUCCGUGAAGUUGGAUUCGCUAGUAAUCGCGCAUCAGCCAUGGCGCGGUGAAUACGUUCCCGGGNCUUGUACACACCGCCCGUCAAGCCAUGG
rnacentral:rRNA from 1 species